CCUCCCAGGUUCAAGUGAUUCUCCUGCCUCAGCCUCCCAAGUAGCUGAGAUUUCAGGUCAAAUGAAAAGCCAAUCACAGAAGACAUUUUCUUGCCCUCACCUGUAAGCUUCAUCUAAAGACAUGUCCAUCCUCUUCAUGAUGUAGGCAAUAGCGAUGGUGGCAGAGCGGGAGAUCCCAGCCAAACAGUGCACUAGGACACAUCCAUUGGAGGCUUUUGCUUUCUCUGUAUGAGUCAAAUUCAAGAAAGGUCACUACUAACAAUUGUGGUCAGCAGUGGAAUCUUGUUUCCAUUUAUUUACUCAAUGUCUUCCACCUGAAAACCGCUAAGCAAAUCUCAUCUGUUUACAUCCUAUUUAUCCUUGCAAUAUUCUUCUGAGGAGGUAGGGGAGGAGAAUUCCCUCACCACUGACAUGCAGGACAGCUAGGGUCGAAAACUCUUUGUUAAUAAGCAGUUUGUUAAUAAGCAAGCUAUUAUUCACGUUUCCUGACUUAUGUCAAUAUUUUCCCCUACUAAGACAUGGCUAAUGUUUAAUCAUGUUAUCUGACAUUUCAGAUUUUUCCCUGAUUACAUAAGAGAUAUAAUUAAAA